rnacentral:rRNA from 1 species
AUUGAACGCUGGCGGCAGGCCUAACACAUGCAAGUCGAGCGGAGCGGCGGACGGGUGAGUAAUGACUAGUAAUCUACCUGGUAGUGGGGGAUAACUUACGGGAGCGGGCGCUAAUACCGCAUACUAGCAGAUGGGCCUCGGUCGGAGUAGCUAGUUGGUGGGGUAAAGGCCUACCAAGGUGACGAUCCGUAACUGGUCUGAGAGGAUGAUCAGUCACACUGGAACUGAGACACGGUCCAGACUCCUACGGGAGGCAGCAGUGGGGAAUAUUGGACAAUGGGCGAAAGCCUGAUCCAGCCAUGCCGCGUGUGUGAAGAAGGUCUUCGGAUUGUAAAGCACUUUAAGUUGGGAGGCGUUACCAACAGAAUAAGCACCGGCUAACUUCGUGCCAGCAGCCGCGGUAAUAC